UUUAGUAGUUUCCAAAAAUGGCAACCCAAUUUCUGAAUUUAUUCCAACUGUGUAAAAUUACAAAAAUGCCCUUAGAAAAUCAAAAAUUCCAUUUUUCCUCUUCUCUUUGCUUUCCACGUACAUUGCAAGAAUGAAGAAAAUUCUUCAUUCCUCUCCUUCCCUCAAUUCAGUCUUGAUUCAUGCCUUGCUCCUCAAGGAUUUCAGCUUCUCUUUCACUCUUCUUGACUAUACAAAUCAGUCUUAAUUCCAAUUGGAAUUCAACAUCAGAAAAUCAAAACCAAGAACCAGUAAACAAAAUUGGAAAUCACCACCCAUAACCAACACCAUUGUCGCCUUAUUUCUCUUCUUUGUUGCACCCCCUCGCUGCACCACCUUCAGACCACCACCACUGCAUCCACCCAGAACCACCGCACCCCACCGUAUCUCCCCUCCCUGCUCUUCCCCCCUCACGCACACCUCUGCCUCCCUCUUUCUUCGCCUCUGCCGCACCACCCAGCCAUGAAACCACCACACCCCGGCCACCGCACCACCUUCUAUACUCACCUUCGCCUCACAAAACUCGGCGAGCUGCUGCUGCGCCGCCCAGGCUUGACCAGAAACGCCCCUCCCCUGUUUUUCCCCUGUUUUGUCGACCACCCCUUCCUUUCCUUGCUGUUCCGCCACCACUCAAACACCACCACAGUCGCAUCUACGGCUCGUUUCCGUGCAGCGGCGCCGUCCAAACCUUCAGCCACCACCACCCCCCCCUCUGUCCUCUUCGUUCUCCCCUGUCCCUCGUUGAUCCCCUGCGCGCUGCGCUUUCAAUUCCAGGAACCAAGUUUCAAUUGAAACUUUGGUUUCCAAAUUCAUUUAAGCUGGCCCAAUUUUUAUUUGGGCUUCGGGAAUUUGGACUCGGAGCUCAGGAAGAACGGCCCAUCGAACAAGAAGUAUAAACUACGGUUGAGGUACGAAGAAGAUCAUGGGAUGCCUUAGAGUGAGGAUGCAACCAUCAAAUUCACGAUCGAUGUUUAGUAGAGACAAUUAUGUCAUUAGUAAUAAAGGGAUGUAUUAAUUAAACUCUAAGUUUGAUCUCAUGAUUUGAGUUAGAUUUUAAUACUAAUAUUAACC